rnacentral:rRNA from 1 species
AUUGAACGCUGGCGGCGUGCUUAACACAUGCAAGUCGAUCGGUAACAGGUGUAGCAAUACAUGCUGACGAGAGGCGGACGGGUGAGUAAUGCUUGGGAAUCUGCCUAUUAGUGGGGGACAACCCGGGGAAACUCGGGCUAAUACCGCAUACGCUCUACGGAGGAAAGCCGGGGACCGCAAGGCCUGGCGCUAAUAGAUGAGCCCAAGUCGGAUUAGCUAGUUGGAGGGUAACGGCCUACCAAGGCGACAAUCCGUAGCUGGUCUGAGAGGACGACCAGCCACACCGGAACUGAGACACGGUCCGGACUCCUACGGGAGGCAGCAGUGGGGAAUAUUGGACAAUGGGGGCAACCCUGAUCCAGCGACGCCGCGUGGGUGAAGAAGGCCUGCGGGUUGUAAAGCACUUUCAGUCGGGAGGAAGGCGGGUUGGCGACAGCCGGCCGGAUUGACGU